rnacentral:rRNA from 1 species
UGGGGAAUAUUGCACAAUGGGCGCAAGCCUGAUGCAGCCAUGCCGCGUGUAUGAAGAAGGCCUUCGGGUUGUAAAGUACUUUCAGCGAGGAGGAAGGGGAUGUGGUUAAUAACCGCAUUCAUUGACGUUACUCGCAGAAGAAGCACCGGCUAACUCCGUGCCAG